GGAUGCGAUCAUAACAACACCAAAGCACCAGAUUUCAUCAGAACUCCGAAAUUAAGCGUGCUUGGGCAAGAGUAGUACUAGGAUGGGUGACCUCCUGGGAAGUCCUCGUGUUGCAUUCC